GCCGGACAUGGUGGCACAUGCCUGUAGUCCCAGCUACUCUGGAGGCUGAGAUGGGAGGAUCGCUUGAGCCCAGGAGUUCUGGGCUGUAUUGCGCUAUGCCCAUCAGGUGCUCUCACUAAGUUCGGCAUCAAUAUGGUGACCUCCUGGGAGCAGGGAACCACCAGGUUGCCUAAAGAGGAGUGAACCAUCUCAGGUUGGAAACAGAGCAGGUCAAAACUCCCGUGCUGAUCAGUAGUGGGAUCUCGCCUGUGAACAGCCACUGCACUCUAGCCUGGGCAACGGAGUGAGACCCCGUCUCA
rnacentral:SRP_RNA from 1 species